ensembl:lncRNA
ACAAAGGUGCGUGAGCUCGAAACUGAGGUGGAGGCCGAGCAGAGAAGAGGUGCAGACGCAGUCAAGGGAGUCCGGAAGUAUGAGCGCAGAGUCAAGGAACUCACUUACCAGACUGAGGAGGAUAAGAAGAACGUUGGCAGACUUCAGGACCUGGUAGAUAAGCUGCAGAUGAAAGUGAAGGCCUACAAGAGGCAUUCUGAGGAAGCAGAGGAAGCAGCAAACCAGCACAUGUCUAAGUUCAGGAAGGUUCAGCAUGAGCUGGAGGAGGCUGAGGAGCGUGCUGACAUCGCUGAGACUCAGGUCAACAAGCUCAGAGCCAAGACCCGUGACUCUGGAAAGGUACAGAACUGCUUCUAAACCUGUACCUGACUCAUGUUCAGAUAUGACCACAUCAACACCACCUAUGAUUCAGUCUUCACAGAGGUCAAUACUGACCUUUUACACUGGUUCCGCUGUAUUUAAGAUCACCAAGCAGCACAUUUCAGGAAGGGCAAAAAAUGAAAGGUUAAUUCUGUUGGUACUUCAAAAUGGAAAAUCCAAGCUGAGCACUGAGCACUAAAUGCUUGAUAUAUUAUAUUCUAUCCAAGUCUAUCCAUGUAUUUAUCAUGUUGAUUGUUAUUACUGAUCCAUUAUAUUCUAUCCAUAUAUUUAUCAUGUUCAUUAUUGUUACUGAUCCAUUAUAUUCUAUCCAUAUAUUUAUCAUGUUCAUUAUUAUUACUGAUCCAUUAUAUUCUAUUCAUAUAUUUAUCAUGUUCAUUAUUAUUACUGAUCCAUUAUAUUCUAUUCAUAUAUUUAUCAUGUUCAUUAUUAUUACUGAUCCAUUAUAUUCUAUCCAUAUAUUUAUCAUGUUCAUUAUUAUUACUGAUCCAUUAUAUUAUUUAUUUCUUCUUACAGGGAAAAGAAGUUGCUGAAUAAACAAGACCAAAGUAUUGAAGAUCAAAGUCUUACCAUUUUCCUGUGUUGCAUAAAAUAUGAUUUUCAUGGUGAAAUGUUGAGCAUUGAUUAAAAACAUGUGGAUCUACAUACACUUCCUUUGUGACUGUGGACUUAUUACUCAGCAAACAGCUUUUUAAUACCAUAAAAUAUUGUACUUCAAUUAAAGGAGCGAGCAAAUAGGUAACUUUUCUUGAG